GACAGAGGGUGCAAACGUUGUUCGGAAUUACUGGGCGUAAAGCGCGUGUAGGCGGCAUGGCAAGUCGGGUGUGAAAGCCCUGAGCUCAACUCAGGAAGUGCAUUCGAUACUGCCAAGCUAGAGUCCUGGAGAGGAUGGUGGAACUCUCGGUGUAGAGGUGAAAUUCGUAGAUAUCGAGAAGAACACCGGUGGCGAAGGCGGCCAUCUGGACGGUGACUGACGCUGAGACGCGAAAGCGUGGGGAGCAAACAGG
rnacentral:rRNA from 1 species